rnacentral:lncRNA from 1 species
CCAAAUGGUAGGUAACUUAUUAAAUUAUAUAUUAUUCACACAACCCACUAUAUAAACAAGACUAUUUUCUUGUAAACUUUCGAUGUGGGACUCCUUUCCAUAUAAAAACACUUAAAAUGGGCUUAUCAACAUAUGGGCCUAUAUUGGAGACUUUUCCAAUUCACCCAAAUUAAUUAUAAUGGCCCACAUCAUUAAAUAUUACAUUUAAUAUUUUAAACCCAAAUCAAAUUCAAUUAAUUCC